AGGCUUUUGUUACGGUAACAUAUGUCCUUGAACGCCAUAAUUAGAUGUUCGACUCAUCUAAAGCCUU
rnacentral:tRNA from 2 species